CCUACGGGAGGCAGCAGUAGGGAAUAUUGCUCAAUGGUGGAAACCCUGAAGCAGCAACGCCGCGUGGAGGAUGAAGGUUUUCGGAUUGUAAACUCCUUUUGUUAGAGGAGAUAAUGACGGUAUCUAACGAAUAAGCACCGGCUAACUCCGUGCCAGUAGCCGCAGUAAUACGGAGGGUGCAAGCGUUACUCGGAAUCACUGGGCGUAAAGAGCGCGUAGGCGGGAUAGCAAGUCAGAUGUGAAAUCCUAUGGCUUAACCAUAGAACUGCAUUUGAAACUGUGAUUCUAGAGUAUGGGAGAGGUAGGUGGAAUGCUUGGUGUAGGGGUAAAAUCCGUAGAGAUCAAGAGGAAUACUCAUUGCGAAGGCGACCUGCCAGAACAUAACUGACGCUGAUGCGCGAAAGCGUGGGUAGCGAACAGGAUUAGAUACCCUUGUAGUC
rnacentral:rRNA from 1 species